UAGGUUGAAVCCCSCUGGCUUGGGUGUUUAGUUGUUAAUUAAAAAAUUACGGGAUCAAGGCCCGUCASCCU
rnacentral:tRNA from 1 species